rnacentral:lncRNA from 1 species
AAUUAACAAGUUCAGGCACAAACUGAAAGAAUGCUUCAUCUAGCGAUUGCAUGUUUCCCUUCUCGAUGCUAGCGGCCGUCAACACCGAAGACCAGCAAGGUAAAUAAACACCAACCAUCGAUCUUGGCAAACCCAGGGGGUAGAAUCUUGGAAGUACAUUGAACUGAGUGUCUUAUUCUUUUUGUGGAUUUGAUUUUGGCCAGAUGGACAGGACGUCGGUCCCGGGGGACACGAUCGACUACGUGAAGGAGCUGUUGGAGAGGAUACAACGGCUGCAGUUGGAGUUAUAGGAGUCACGCUGCUGUGGGUAUGGCUGCCGGGUGUGUUCCAGCAGCAGAAUCCCAACGAGAUGCUGGCCAGGAAAAGCUCCAAGGUGAGGAAUUGAAGCCACCCACUGCCUCCAGAGGAGAGCCGCUUCAUUUUUUCUAUAACUUGAAAAAUAGUGAGAGCAAGAUACUUUGAGUAUCAUUUUCUGCGAGGAAACAAUGAGUAGCAAUUUGAUUAGUUUGGUAGGUGUAACACACAUUCACGCAAUUCUCAGGCAAAAAAACUGCGGUUAGCUCGCAGACUCUUGUUUGCUAAAAGUUUAGAAUGAAAGACCGGCGAGUUGAGUUGGUUGUUUCAACAAAGCAUGGUUAAUUGAUUUGAGAGUGUGUGAAAUGAAUUUGAAAGGCAUUUUGGACAAACAUCCUGGUGAUGGUGUUGUGUGUGUGCUGGUACUGUUUUGUGCUACGUGCUACUACUUCCAUGCCGCUAUGUGAGGGAUUCAGAGAUUCAGAUAUGAGAGAGGCUACUGCUGGGUUAUGGAUUACUACAAAUUGUUUGCUGCUCUGAGUUGUAUGUUAUUGCUGCUCUGAUUUGUGUGUUGCUGCUUGGGUGAAGAAGGACAGUGUUGCUGCAAUAUAUGGAACAAAGUAAUAGAGAUAAUGAUGCUGCUACUAAUAGGUUGUUGCUAUUUUUACCUUUUGCAGUUGCUAAUUCUGCUCUGGGUUAUGUAGUUUGUAUUAGCUAUAUCUUUACCAAGUACAAAUUAUUUUGGAAGCAUGGUUGAUUUGUUCCUUCUUUUGUGUUAUUUUGUGGUCCCUUGUGCAUUGAUAUGACUUCGUGUUUUGAUGCAUUCUUCCAUCCUGUAGGCUAUUAGACAUGCUCAUUUGAAGAUUGAGUUAUCAAUAUCAAUUAUGGUUACCUAUCGGCGUCUAAUCAGGUCUGCAAGGUAGUGUUAUUUCUCUUCUAUUUUUUUGAUUCUUUAUAUGGCAGAAAAUGGUAUGGUUAGCUUAUAUCAUAAAUCCCAUAAGAAGGACUACAUGAUAUGAUAUCAUAUGAUUCUUAUAUCAGCUCUAUUGUGUUUUCCAUUAUUUUUCUAAUGUAGAAAGCUAUUGUUGUGCACAAAUGUUGGUACAGUAGACAUUCUAUCGGGUGUGUGCAUAUGUGUUCCCUUAGUUGCAGUGAGUAUAUAUCUGAACUAUCAUUCCGUUUUACUGCUGGAAAUAUCGGUCCCACUCCACAUAAUUCGUCUAAGCCUAAUGUAUUUUUCCUAAUAUUUAUUGUAGUAUUAACCCAUGAACCGUGAGAAGGGUAUAUUUCAUCUUUACAAGUUCCAUCAGUAUUAGUUCUCCAUUUUACAUCAAAAAAGUGUAAGCGUACAGACAGAAUACAUCAUCCAUAUGCAUCAUUUAUCCAUUUGUUUUCUUUUAAG